ACGUCCUACGGGGGGCAGCAGUAGGGAAUUUUCGUCAAUGGGCGCAAGCCUGAACGAGCAAUGCCGCGUGAACGAGGAAGGUCUUCGGAUCGUAAAGUUCUGUUGAAGGGGAAAAAGAGCGGAGAGAGGAAAUGAACUCCGUUUGAUAUUACCCUUCGAGGAAGUCACGGCUAACUACAUGCCAGCAGCCGCGGUAAUACGUAGGUGGCGAGCGUUAUCCGGAUUGAUUGGGCGUAAAGGGUGCGUAGGCGGCCUGCUAAGUCUGGAGUGAA
rnacentral:rRNA from 1 species